rnacentral:rRNA from 1 species
GUAGGUGGCAAGCGUUGUCCGGAAUUAUUGGGCGUAAAGCGCGCGCAGGCGGUCCUUUAAGUCUGAUGUGAAAGCCCACGGCUCAACCGUGGAGGGUCAUUGGAAACUGGGGGACUUGAGUACAGAAGAGGAAAGCGGAAUUCCAAGUGUAGCGGUGAAAUGCGUAGAGAUUUGGAGGAACACCAGUGGCGAAGGCGGCUUUCUGGUCUGUAACUGACGCUGAGGCGCGAAAGCGUGGGGAGCAAACAGGGAUUAGAUACCCUGGUAGUCCACGCCGUAAACGAUGAGUGCUGAGUGUUAGGGGGUUUCCGCCCCCUUAGUGCUGCAGCUAACGCAUUAAGCACUCCGCCUGGGGAGUACGGCCGCAAGGCUG